rnacentral:misc_RNA from 1 species
CUAAAACAAAACUCUAAUUUCCCGUUGGCGCUCACUGGCUCCACAGCCAAAGCAAAUGUCGGAAACAAUCUCUUCUUGCCGACACUCAACCUCCACCAUCGACCCCGCUGAUCAUCUCCCUCUUUCUAUCCUUAGAUCCGACACCAUCCCACCAGCGCCAACCCGAUCCGGAGCCACUAUCGACUGGCUACCGGAAUUUGCUGGUUACGCAUGGAUCGCUUAUGGAGCCUCUUCCCUUUUGGUGAUUUCUCACUUCCCAUCCCCUCUUUCCUCCGACGAAUUUCUGAUCGGCCCCAUUCUCCGGCAAGUUUUCGAGCUCUCCGGCGACCAUUCAUCUGCUGUCACUGCCGUUUCUUGGUCCCCAGUAACGCCGUCGAUAGGAGAGCUUGCUGCUGCGUCAGACAACUGCAUCUAUGUGUUCUCACAUGAUUCCGGAAGCUCCAAAGGUUCAUUUUGUUGGAGCCAGAAUGCAGUGCUUUUACAGUCUACAAAGGUGGAAGCAAUCAAAUGGACUGGCUCUGGGGACGGGAUACUUGCUGGUGGAAUCGAUGUGAUUUUGUGGAGAAGGAGAAACAGGUCAUGGGAAAUAGCUUGGAAGUUUAAGAGAGAUGAGCCUCAAAAUCUGGUUUCUGCAACCUGGUCAAUUGAGGGACCAUCAGCAACUGCUGCCUAUCCAAGUAAAUUGCAUAUUAAAGGACCUAGCAGUGCAAGCAAAUGUGUGCUAGUAUGUUAUGGGGACAGCAUAUCUGAAUAUGAAAAAUUUGAGCUUCGUCAUCCUCAGCCUGUCUUUAUGCUUCAGUGGAGGCCACUAACAGCAAGACCAUCACAAAGAGAUGCAAAAUAUUUUCCAAGGAACAUGUUAUUAACUUGCUGCCUAGAUGGAACGGCAAGGCUAUGGACUGAGGUAGACAAUGGAAAGGUUAGAAAGUUUGGCAAGGAAAAUAAUGAUCGCAAAACAUCUAGGAAAUUCUUUUGUGUUGCUGCUGUAAUUGAGAUUAACCAGGUGUUGAAUGGAAAUUUGGGCACGGAUAUAUUUUUGAACUGGGCAAUAGAAAGCGGGGGUAUAUAUAGAACUGGAGAAGACACUAAUCAGAUCUUCUCCACUGAAAGGUAUGGACAUGACAGGGUUGGCAGAUGUGAGUGGUUCAUUGGGUUUGGUCCAGGAACUGUAAUUACUUUUUGGGCCAUUCAUUGUCUUGAUGAUGUCUCGCCCAUGAGGUUUCCUCGUGUUACACUGUGGAAGAGACAAGAACUGCAGGACCUUGAAGGGGGACAUCUUCAUGGAGCUGAUUUUUCAAAAUUUAACGAUUCUUUACUUCUUAAUAAGGUCAUUAUCUUGAGGAACUGCUUGUCUGGUCCACCUGAAAUAUGCUCUUUGGUUCAUUUAUUACCUUGUAAUUCCUUGGUUUGGUCUCUGUUACAUACCCAAAGAUUUGGUGAUAUUGAGAACACAUUAUUUAACAAUUCAAGGGUAUAUAAGUACUUAUCAUACUCAGCUCGUGGUGUUCUAAAUGGGGGACAUACUGGAAAAAUCUUAGAAGUUGCUAUGCAUCCUUAUAUUUAUGAACUUGAAUUGGCUGCUUCUUUGGACUCUAAUGGGUUGGUUCUAUUUUGGUCUGUUUCAACCAUUUCGAACUGCAAUUUGGACUUUUCUACAUUUAUUCCGACAUGGAAACUUUGUGGAAAAUUUGUAACUAAUGAUUCAUGUUCCAAGUAUACAAGCUUGAAGUGGGCACCUUCUGUGUUGGAUGAAGACUGUGUACUUCUUAUGGGCCAUGUUGGAGGAAUAGAUUGCUUUCUAGUUAGGAUUUCUCAAAUUGAAGGAGAAGAAGACAUAGUAUGUCACUUUAUAUGCACCAUACCUCUAACAGGUCAUGGUCCUUAUGAGGAUGGUGUCCUCAACAUCUUUGCAAUACCCCUUCCUUCUACCUGUGACAAGACAUUUGAGUACAAUAAAUUUAUGCUUUUGGGGGUAUGGAUGAAAAGCUUUCAAGCUCUAUCAUGGGAAGUCACUUUACAUUCCUAUGACUUACCAGCGACUUCCUGUGAAUGUAAUUUUGAUGAUCAAAACAGCCCUAUGUUCACAUGGAAAUUUGAAAAUACUUUUGCCAAUAAAAGAUACUGUCUUGGUGUUAACCCUUGCUCCUCUCAGUUUCCAGAGCCUUACUCUCAUGACCAGAUUACUAGUUUUUCUGUUGUAGGUCCAGGUAAUUUGAUUCCUAUGCAUGAAAAACUAGGAUUUGACAGAGGUAGUUGCUGCUGUGUUCCUGCCUAUAUUAUGGCUACUGGCUUCUCUGAUGGUAGCUUGAAACUGUGGAGAAGUAACUCUUCUAAAUUGCGAACUCCUCACUCUCAGAUACUAUGGGAACUUGUUGGUAAAUUUGUUGCACAUCAAGGCCCUGUUAAUGCUAUAUGUUUGACUGACUGUGGUCAGAAGAUUGCAACUAUCUCUGUGGCGAGUAAAAUAGAUGGCACUAGCAUUCUUCAUAUUUGGGACAGCAUAAACCUUAUAGGAGCUGGAUGUUUUGUGUUAGAGGAUAUAUUAUCCAUUGAUGGAGAUGUUGUGGCUUUAAAUUGGUUAGCUUUAGGUAAUGGUCGGUUAUUUCUUGGGGUUUGCACACAGAAUAAUUUGCAGGUAUAUGCUCAGAAGUGUUCUGGUGGUCAGACAUUGGUGAAGCUUGGAAAAUCUUUGAACCUGCACAAUUGGACUUGUAUUGCAGUUACUCAUACUUUCCCUGCUAUUCAUGACUUGCUUUGGGGCCCGCAGGCUGCAGCUGUUAUUGUUCAUGAUAACUACUUUAGUAUUUUUAGUCAGUGGUUGUUCCUUGUAGAUGAUGAACAACUGGCCAAACGCCAUUCAAAUUUUAUUAGGGUGGAUGGUGAAGUUGGAAAAGAUAAAGGCAUUCUUUCAUCUAUAUUCACUGAUUUGGAUAUCAGUAUUGGUGAUCUCACGAAAUCAUCACUUCCCAUAAAGAUUAAUGAUAAAAUUGAUUGCCAAUCAAGCAGUUUGUUUGUACCUAAGGCUCAGCUAAAACAUGGUUCAUGUCACAUGCUUGGUUUUUGGAGCCUGGUAGAAAUAGCAGAGAAGUUAAGGAGAACUUUACCUGUUUAUCAUCCUGAGGCUCUCCUUAUGAAUUUGUAUUCAGGCAAUUGGAAACGUGCAUAUGUAUCUUUGAGGCAUCUUGUUGAAUUUCUUACUUCUGGUCAUGCUUCUGAGAAAAAGUGUAGUUCUGGAAAGAAAUGCCAUAUUGCUCCACAGAUUCCUUUGUCGAACUAUUUUGAAAAACUUACGUUGAAAGAUUCAAUGGAUGAGGAAUUUCAAUGGAGUGCUGAUGCAAGAUUACCUACUUCAUCUUCACAGUUUUUUGUGCAUGACACCAUGUCCAGUGACUCCAAUCAUUUAUUUACUUCAUCUACAACAUCUGAGCUUUGUGGUUUUGUGGAGCCUCUUGAGAAGAUGUAUGAGUUAGCAGCUUUAACUAAUAUUGAGAAGUUGCAAAUUCUUGCUAUUAUAGAUCUUCUUACUGAAAUUCAGCACUCUUCUUCUGCCUAUGACAAUCUUGAUGAACCUGGCCGAAGGUUUUGGGUUGCUUUAAGGUUUCAACAGUUACAGUUUUGUCGAGGCUUUGGUAGGUCAUCAUCAGUGGAAGAAUUGGUAGUUGACACUAGGCUAAUGAGUUGGGCCUUCCACUCUGAGUGUCAGGAAACUUUGAUUAGUUCUUUUCUUCCAAAUGAACCAACAUGGAAAGAAAUGCAGACUCUUGGAGUUGGAUUUUGGUUUACCAAUGUUGCACAACUACGCACAAGGGUGGAGAAAUUAGCAAGAAAGCAGUAUCUAAGAAACAGAGAUCCUAAAGAUUGUGCCCUCUUAUACAUUGCAUUGAAUAGACUUCAAGUCUUGGCUGGUCUUUUUAAAAUCAGUAAAGAUGAAAAGGACAAACUCUUGGUGGGAUUUCUUUCUCGCAAUUUUCAGGAGGAGAAAAAUAAAGCAGCUGCUUUAAAAAAUGCUUAUGUCUUAAUGGGAAGACAUCAACUGGAGCUAGCUAUUGCUUUCUUUCUACUUGGAGGUGAUAAUUAUUCUGCAAUCACUGUCUGUGCAAAGAAUCUUGGGGAUGAACAACUUGCAUUAAUAAUUUGCCGGCUUGUUGAGGGUCAUGGUGGGCCAUUACAACAUCACUUGAUCACAAAGUUUAUACUUCCAGCUGCAACUGAGAGAGGCGAUUACUGGCUUGCAAGCCUGCUUGAGUGGGAGCUGGGCAAUUGCUUGCAGUCUUUUCUAUGCAUGGUUGGUUUCCAAACUAGUUCUGUGAUUGACAAAUAUGCUAUUUCAUCCAAUCACACUGCUUUUAUGGACCCCCAUAUUGGUCUACAUUGCCUCAAAUUAGCAACCAAAAGUUGCAUGAGAAAUGCCAUAGGGGAGCAAAAUGCUGCAACUCUCAGUAGGUGGGCAACUUUUAUGGCGGCAACUGCCUUCAACAGAAGUGGGCUUCCUCUUGAAGCUUUAGAGUGCCUCUCAUCUUCCUCCAGCAUUUCUGGGGGUACGGAUCAAGGGAGUAUAUUAGAUGUUGAUCAUACUCUAAUUCUACGCGGAAUUUUAAAGCCAUCUGCUAUUGAUUCCCUUAAUUGGUUGUCAGACAGUGUAGCUUUGCAUCUGGAGUCCUGUGCUAAAUUAGAUUUGGCUCUUCAGUAUUUCUCAAAGUUGAUGGUGGAGCAUCCUAGUUGGCCUGACUCUAUCUUAGGAUCUGUUCAACUGUCUACAUGCUUCAGGGAUUGUGAGGUUCAUCAAUACGAAGAAUUACAAAAAAAUUUUCGAGACAAGUUGUAUACAGGACUUACAAAGUUUGAGCAGAAGUUUUCAGUGGCUUCUUCUCACCUAAUCAAAAUGAUUUUGGUCUGGUUGUGCAAUAAUGGAUUACUGUUUAUUGGAUAUGAUAUAUUACUUGGCUAUGCUUCUCUAGAUCACUCAGAUGAGAGCCAUUCUGUUGGCAAAUUAGUCCUGUAUCGUGUUCUACAUAAGCCACUUUUCAAAUCUAUAGAAGAUAUUUCCCUUUUACUUUCACGGUUUAUUGUCUCCUGUAAUAUAACUUGCCUACAACCAAAAUCAUUUUAUAUUGACAAUGAUGUGUCUGGUGAAGUUAGAUCCACAUGGUCCGAUACUCAGGCACAUUACUUUCAAGGUAUCAUGCGAAUGUUGUGGAGUUUAAGAAGUGCUAUGAGGAUAAUUUGUGGCUUCUUAUCUGAGGAUGUGACUGCAAGGACCCUUGUUAUCCUUGAUUUAUAUGAAUUCUAUGUACAUUUUGCAUCUGCUUGGCUUCAGCGAAAUUUGAAAGGUCUUUUGUUGAUGGUGCAACCGCUCUUGAUUACAUGCACCAAUGGGCAUAUCCCAUAUGAAGUAGAUAUGGAAAAUCUCAAGAACAUCCUUUACCAUAUAGCAGAGUUGUUGGCUAGCGAUUUGUCUGUGGAUGAUGCAGGAUCAGGGCAUGGGACUACAAAAAAUCACCCAUGUAAUUUAAAUAGAGAAACAAUGCGCUCAUUUUCAGAAGAUGAGAAAUGGCAUAUUAUAGGGGCUUGUUUGUGGCAGCACAUGUCCAGAUUAAUGAAACAUAAGCUGCAUUUGCUAUCCAUUAAUGUUGAAGAUAGUUGCUUCUCUGGAGCAUCCCAUAGCAAAGUUACUUCCUGGGCAUCUAGUUCAAUGAAUUUUCGAUCUGAUAACAGCAUAGCAGAACAAAUUGUAUCACUCUCAUUGAUAUUAUCUAACGUACUGAAGACCACACUCAUACAUCUUUCAUCUUAUCAUAUAAAAGUAUUCGGCUCAUUCCUGCUACUGAAAGUAGAGAAUAGAUUGCCCAUGCCAACUCUUGCAUGGAUACGAGAAUCUAAUCCGUCUCAAGCCGAAGUCCUCUAUCAGGAUGCAAGUGCAGACAUAAUGAACAGCAAAGAUGAAUUAUCAACUUUUGACAUAUUAUGGGACACCUGUGCUGACCCUAACCUAAUAAUAGAAGGUUUUGCACAAGAAAAUAUAAACUGGUUACAAUUUGUCAAUCAUGGAUCCUCUGAAGACUGGAGUGGUUUAUAUAAGAGCAUCAGAGAGGACCACGAAACCAAGGAAGUUCUAGAUCAGGAAGUGAGGUUAGGAAAUAAUCCUUCCAGUGAUGAAGUUGAAUCAUCUGCUAAGGGUUUAUUUAAGAAUGGCCGAGCUUUUCUAACUUCAUGGCAGAAGGACUCAACUAUUGCCAGGGAGGUGCCACAUUUCCAAACUGCUAAAGAAAUCUAUAAGAGAGACGGAGAGCUGUUGGAGGCACUCUGUAUUAACUCUGUCUGCGAAAGGCAAGCUGCAAUUUCUAGCAACAGAAAGGGCAUAAUUUUCUUUAGUUGGGAAGAUGGGAUUCCUUUUGGAGAUCAAUCAGAAUAUAUCUGGUCUGAUGCUGAUUGGCCACCAAAUGGUUGGGCAGGUGCUGAAUCAACUCCAGUUCCAACUUGUGUUUCUCCUGGUGUUGGUCUUGGGAGCAAGAAAGGGGCACACCUUGGGUUGGGUGGGGCAACCCUUGGCAUGGGUUCUUUAGCAAGACCAAGGAGAGACUUGACAGGCGGUGGAGCAUUUGGUAUUCCAGGUUAUGCUGGUAUUGGUGCCUCUGGCUUAGGUUGGGAAGUACAGGAGGAUUUUGAGGAGUUUGUUGACCCACCAGCUACCUUGGAAAAUAUAAGUACAAGGGCUUUCUGUAGUCACCCCUCAAGACCCUUUUUUCUGGUUGGAUCCAGCAAUACUCACAUUUACUUGUGGGAGUUUGGUAAGGACAAAGCCACUGCAACUUAUGGUGUGCUCCCUGCUGCAAAUGUUCCUCCGCCAUAUGCCCUUGCAUCAAUAUCAGCUUUGCAGUUUGAUCACUGUGGACACAGGUUUGCUACAGCUGCAUUAGAUGGAACUGUAUGCACAUGGCAGCUUGAGGUUGGAGGAAGAAGCAACAUCCGCCCAACAGAAUCAUCUCUCUGCUUUAAUGGCCAUGCAUCGGAUGUUGCAUAUGUUACCUCAAGUGGAUCAGUUGUUGCUGCUGCUGGAUAUAGCUCCAAUGGUGUUAAUGUAGUUGUCUGGGAUACGUUGGCUCCUCCCACAACUUCACGAGCUUCAAUUGUUCGUCAUGAAGGUUUUGUUCUUCUAAUUCUUAAACUGCAUUAGCUGAAAUUGCAUGCACGAUUGUAUUAUUCUGCCUUAUGGAUUUCGCAAGAUGAUUAUGCACUAAACGUGGCAUGCAAUUUUCAGUUGAUGUUAUAGACUUUGUUUAAGCAAAAAUUAGCAUGAGUUGGUAUGCUGAUCUCACAAUGACCAAGAGUCAUGAGGUCAUGCAAAUUAACUAACCAAAGCGGCAUUAUUGAUAAAGAUUAACGUGUUGACUAUUUGUGAUCUCAAUUGUGCUUGUGUAAUUGUGCAUUAAGUUACUAGAUACUCCUCCAUCUGUAAUAACACCAACCUUUGUGCAUGUGUGUGAAGGUGGUGCUCGCUCCAUUUCAGUGUUUGAUCACGACAUUGGAAGUGGUUCCAUAUCUCCCCUUAUUGUAACUGGUGGUAGAGGUGGUGAUGUUGGACUUCAUGACUUUCGGUACAUAGCAACUGGAAGGACUAAAAGGCAUAGGCAUUUUGAUAAUGGUGAUGGAAGAAGCAAUAUGCCUUCUAAUAUGGACUUGCAAGCAGGGGUUGGUAAGAAAGUAGGUGACCAGAAUCAGAACGGGAUGCUUUGGUACAUACCAAAGGCUCACUUGGGAAGUGUCACCAAAAUAUCCACCAUCCCUCAUACCAGCUUAUUCUUAACUGGAAGCAAAGAUGGAGAUGUUAAACUUUGGGAUGCCAAAGCGGCCAAACUGGUUUAUCAUUGGCCCAAGUUGCAUGAAAGGCGCACCUUUUUGCAACCGAGCUCACGUGGUUUUGGCGGAGUUGUUAGGGCUGCAGUAACAGACAUACAAGUUGUUUCUCAUGGUUUUCUUACUUGUGGUGGAGAUGGCUUGGUAAAGUUGGUUCAGCUUAAAGAUAACCUGUUUGAGAAAUAAUGAAGUUACUAAGAAGCUCAUGAAUCGGACUCCCCAGUGGUAGCUUGAUGCAAUUUUCCCAUCAGAGACUUUGUUGUUUAUCAUCAACAAUCUGUCAUAUUUGAUCAGUUAUAAAUCUGGAACUUACAUGAAUUUCAAUGACAGACGAAUUUGGGUCAUGUUAUUAGAUCCUUCUCUCGUCUGGUCAUGGGGUGCAAGCGAUUCAGAACACUGGUGAAGUCCAAUGGCUGCAACCCUGAUAUUCUUUUUCACACAUAAUUCAUCAGGUAUCUUAUUGAAUUCGUUGCAAAGUCCAGCGUUUCUGAACAGGAUGAAAUCAGUCACAUUGAUUGACCUGUGCGGUUGGAUCGUUGAUGUGUCUAGGAAUUUUCAUUUGGCCAUCAGUUUCUGCUUGGAGGGGUUCUUUGAGAUUGGCAAAGAAUCAGUGCCCAGACAAUCAUCAUUGUAUAUAUUUUGACGUCAGCUAUUUUCUGCGUGAUGUUAAAAACAGCAGAAUCCGUUUGCAAUUGUUUUUUUAUUUCUGUUUUAUAUAUUUUCCUUUUUUUUAUAUUAUUUUCGAUUUGCAUUUGUAGUUUGGAAGCAGUGGAAUUUUUUCUUUUUCCCUGCCGAAAGUAAACACAAUAUAAAGAUAUAUAUUUUUAUGAGAGAAUGUUAUUUUAAUGUAUUCUAAGAGUGUUUUUAUAAUCUUUUUAUCGUUCAAGACCGUGCUACAAAAUCUCA